GUAGUUCAGAGAAUGACCGAUUGUAUUAUUGGAAAAAAACGAACGCAACUUCUUGUCACAUUGUCGAGGUGAGUAGGUGUGCAUGCAUCCAUUUGAUUAAUAAGAAUGAGAAAAUAAAAAGGACAAGAAAACAGAAAUGGUAAAACCAAAACCAGGCUCCCAUAAAAACUGCAUGAGAUAUUGUAGAUUAAUUAAUUAGAUUCAAUCAACAUAGGACAUCAACGUAAUGUUAAUAACUUAAUUAUGGUAUUCACAGUGGCGGACUUGGGCUUAGACCUGGUGGGUCAAGUGACUCACCAGGCCCAAAAAAAAAUUUUAAGUUAAUUUUAAAAAAAAAAAAAAAAAAAAAAAAAAAAAAUCAGUUUUCCCAAAUUCACGAAUUCAGUAUUUCAGUUCAUGGCCUUCAAUCCUUCAUGCCCUAGCCAAUUCGCCUCUUCCCUAAUUCCCUUCAAGGCUUCAAUCCUUCGCCAUCAUCAAUCACCUAUUCACCUCCAUAAUCGCCUCCUCCAGUCCUCCUCUUCGCAGUUCGCAACUCGCAACUUCGCAAGUAAGCAUCUUCCUCACUCCUCAGUUAGUCAGUUCCUCUUCGCAGACUCGCAGUUCGUGCCUUCGACCCUUCGUCUUCCUCUUCGCAUAAAUUCAGCUGUGAUGCUGUGAUGCUGGCCUGCUGCCCUGUGAGCUUGUGAUUUCAAGCUGUGAAAUGGUGAAUUUGUUAAUUGUUCAAGCUGUGAUACUGCCUGCUGGCCUGCUGCUCGCCUAGUCGGCAGUCGCCUGCUGCCCUGCUCCACUGCUCGAGAGUCGAGAGCGUGCUCUGCGCUCACCGCUCUUCGCUUCGUCGCUUCUUCUAAAGUCUAAUCUCCUAUUCUCAUUUUGCUAGUAAGUUGAUUUCUAAUUUUUAGUUUAAAAUUCUAAUCUUCAAUUUAAUCAAGUCUAAUUAGUUAAUUCUAUUAAACUUUGGUUGAUUUGUUAGUUGUUCACUUCAAGUCUUCAAUCACUUGUUUGUUUGGUAAACUUUGAACCUUUUGUUAAUGAGUAAUGACCUUAAUGUAAUAAUGUUGUUGGGUUUUAGAUGAAGUUUGAACCUUUUUGACCAUGUGAAUAUGUGAUUAUGUGAAUUGUGGUUUGUUUGGUAAAAUGAUCUUUGUAAAUAAUUUUUCUGGGGAAUUUUGCUUGCUUUAGUUGAUUAUUUAUUCAAAUUUCAGAAUGAAGAGAAAACGCACUCCAAAUGAACUGCAAAACAUUACUAGCUUCUUUGCUAAAAAGAAUCCUACUUCAACUUCUCUUCCACAUCCCACACAAAAUGAACAAACUAUAUCUCCACCUCAACAGAGUGAACAAACUAUAUGUCCACCUCAAGAAAGUGAACAACAUUCAUCUCCAUCUAAUUAUUCCACUCAAAAUUCCCCUCAAAAUGAACAAGGCCAAUGUUCUCCUAAUGCCCCAAUCUUUGGUGAAAGAUUAAGUGAACAUGAAUUUGCUAAUCUUCCACAAGAUCCAGGAAAGAGGAUACUUGAUUAUCGAUUGUGAACAUGAAUUUGCUAAUC